rfam:Felis catus isolate Cinnamon breed Abyssinian chromosome X, whole genome shotgun sequence.
GCCUGGGUGGCUCAGUAGGUUAAGCAUCUGACUUCGGCUCAGGUCAUGAAGUCACAGUCUGUGAGUUCAAGCCCCGCAUCGGGCU